rnacentral:rRNA from 1 species
AUGGCCACGGCAGCCUCGCCGCCGGCGGCAGCCUCCGCUCGGGCGUCGGCGAUCCGCUCCCGCGCUGGCCGCCUCUCCCUCCCCGCGGCCCUCCCGGCGGACGGCCGUGGUGACACUGCCACCACCUACAAGGAGCUCGGCUUGUACUCCUGGAAAAGGAGGAUCGAAGAUGCGGUUAUCCGGGUGGAGUUGUCUGCAUCCAAUGCACUGGAGAGGGAGGAAGCACGGAGAAUCGAGCAUGAAGAAGUACUGCAAAGCCAUAACUUGUGGGACAAUCCGGCCAAGUCACACGAGACGCUCUCUGCCCUGUCUGAUGCCAUCAGAGCGGUUGAUCAUCUCAAAGACCUUCUAUAUAAGGCUGAAGAGGCUAAGCUGAUAAGUCAACUAGCAGGCAUGGAUGUCAUAAACGGAGAGCUAUUUAAGCAAGCAUAUGAUAUCUCUUUGGAUGCUAGUGAGUUUCUAGAUCGUUACCAGAUGUACGAGCUUCUUAAGGGUCCAUAUGACAAGGAAGGAGCUUGUAUCAUGGUCACUGCUGGAUCAGAGGGUGUCGCUUCAGAGCUAUGGGCAGAGAAGCUAUUUGACAUGUAUACAAGUUGGGCACAAAGGCAAGGUUGCAAAGAAGGACUGGUAGAGAAGAUCGCAUCAACAAGUGGUCAUACCCAGUUUGCAGCAAUGGAGAUUGAAUCAGAGUACAUGUUUGGUACCCUUUCUGGAGAAAAAGGAAUGCACAGAAUGAUCUACUCUUCCGUUGAAAAUUCUGGCACUGGCAAGGCGAUUUCAGCUAGAGUCGAUAUAAUUCCUCUCUUCUUGGAUAGACCGGUUAAUUUUCACUUGGAUGACAAUGAUCUGGAGAUUUCUCCGUUACCCAGUGAAUUUAAAAAUCGAGACCGAAGAAAUGGUGCCACUGUGAGAGUUCAGCACAUACCAAGCGGAGUUACUGCCGAAAGCUCAGGUGAAAGAAGCUAUUUCGCAAACAAGCUAAAAGCCGUGAGCAGGCUGAAAGCAAAGCUCCUCAUCAUAACAAGAGAACUAAGAGUACCAAACCCGAAGAUGAUCGAGAAACAAGCUGUGGAGGAAAGAUGCAACCGCGAGACGAGACGAUACAUGUUCGGGCCCCAGGAAUUCGUCCAUGAUCUUAACACGGGCAUCCAGUUGUCCGACCUCAACUCGGUCCUGGAAGGCGACAUCGAACCGUUCAUCAGGGGUCGUAUUGUUUCAAGACAUGGAUGA